rnacentral:rRNA from 1 species
UCCGUAGGAGGCAAGCGUUGUCCGGAAUUACUGGGCGUAAAGCGCGUGUAGGUGGUGGGACAAGUCUGCUGUGAAAGCGCCUGGCUUAACCGGGCGAGGUCGGCGGAAACUGUCCGACUAGAGGACGGUAGAGGGGGGUGGAAUUCCCGGUGUAGUGGUGAAAUGCGUAGAGAUCGGGAGGAACACCUGUGGCGAAGGCGGCCCCCUGGGCCGGCCCUGACACUGAGACGCGAAGGCGUGGGGAGCGAACGGG